GGACUACUGGGGUAUCUAAUCCCGUUUGCUCCCCUGGCUUUCGCGCCUCAGCGUCAGCAGAGGUCCAGCGUGUCGCUUUCGCCACCGGCGUUCCUUCCGAUAUCUACGCAUUUCACCGCUCCACCGGAAGUUCCACACGCCCCUACCUCCCUCGAGACGACUGGUUUCGGCAGCCCUUCUCCCGUUGAGCAGGAGGAUUUCACUACCGACCCUGUCGCCCGCCUACGCGCCCUUUAAGCCCAGUGAAUCCGAACAACGUUUGCACGGUUCGUCUUACCGCGGCUGCUGGCAC
rnacentral:rRNA from 3 species